AUCCAAGGCUAAAUACAAGCACGAGUCCGAUAGCGAACAAGUACCGUGAGGGAAAGUUGAAAAGUACUUUGAAGAGAGAGUAAACAGUGCGUGAAACCGCUCAGAGGUAAACGGGUGGAGUUGAACUGCAAGCUCUGUGGAUUCAGCUGGUGAGUAUGGUUUGGGCUUGGCCAAAUAGGUUGAGCUGCGGGGUCUGCUUAUUCGCAGGUCUUUGUCUUCGGGCAGGGAUGCGCGAUGCACCUACCAUGUGCUGUGCGCCUCGUGGUUUCGAAUCUGCUCGCUAGUGCACUUUCGCAGGGUGUUCACCACGACCGGCAUUGCUGUCUGGCUAUUGUGGUUAAACCGGUCUUGCAUUGUCCUUGUGGCUUUGCUUGGUCGGGACGGCAGGUAACUCGUUGGUUGUUCGUAGCUUGCUGCGUUCGGCCUCGGGUGUAAUCAGCUGACUUCAAUGGUUCUGUGCAGUAUGUCGGAGACGGCGGCUUGUUGUGUGUGCGUGCGUGCCGGUCUCAUGGGCGUGCUCGGGUAUGACUGUCAUGUUGCUUGCGUAAGCAGGCCUGGUGGUUGCUCGGGUUUGUUCUGUGGGUGGUUGCGUGCGUGGCACUAUGCAGGGCCAAUAGUCUGUGGUGUAGUGGUAGACGAUCCACCCGACCCGUCUUGAAACACGGACCAAGGAGAGUAACAUGUGCGCGAGUCAUUGGGCGUAACGAAACCCAAAGGCGCAGUGAAAGUAAAGGCUCGGCUUUGUCCUUGCUGAGGUGAGAUCUUGCCGUUUCUCAUGCAUGGUACUACCAAGCAUCGAGCGGUGGGCGCAUCACCGGCCCGUCUCAUGACGUAGACACAUAGUCUUCGGACCAGUGCACCGUCGGGGCGGAGCAUGAGCGUACAUGUUGAGACCCGAAAGAUGGUGAACUAUGCUUGCGCAGGUUGAAGCCAGAGGAAACUCUGGUGGAGGACCGCAGCGAUUCUGACGUGCAAAUCGAUCGUCAAACGUGAGUAUAGGGGCGAAAGACUAAUCGAACCAUCUAGUAGCUGGUUCCCUCCGAA
rnacentral:rRNA from 1 species